GGACCGGCAACAAAUAUAUCUACUAAAGAUUCUGACUUUUGACCCUGCCUGUCAACAACUGAGAAGGAAAGGAGAAAUAGAGAGGAGUCAUCCACAAAUAAGUAGGUGGAUUUUAAAGCCGUGGGACUGGGUGACAUCAACUAGAGAAAUCAGAAGAUGAAGAAAGAAGAAAAGCUGGUGGCUUAGGCCAGGGUCUACCCUGAGGCCUUCUAACUUUUAAAGCCUGCUUUUCCCCUUCAAAUAUUGAAGCCUUCAAAGUCAUCUUUGGAGAAAGGUACAGACUUGUCUACCAGGUGUGUCCUCAACUUUGGC
rnacentral:lncRNA from 10 species